rnacentral:rRNA from 1 species
GUGCCAGCCGCCGCGGUAAUACCGGCAGCUCAAGUGAUGUCCCAUAUUAUUGGGCCUAAAGCGUCCGUAGCUGGCCAGACAAGUCCGUUGGGAAAUCCACGCGCUCAACGCGUGGGCGUCCAGCGGAAACUGUCCGACUUGGGGCCGAACGACCCGAGGGGUACGUCCGGGGUAGGAGUGAAAUCCUGUAAUCCUGGACGGACCGCCGGUGGCGAAAGCGCCUCGGGAGGACGGACCCGACGGUGAGGGACGAAAGCCAGGGUCUCGAACCGGAUUAGAAACCCGGGUAGUCC